AGUCACUGACAUUAGAUACCCCCGUAGUCCUAGCCGUAAACAAUGUGCGUUAGGUGUGUCGGUAACCACGCGUUACUGAUGCGCCGAAGAGAAAUCGUGAAACGCACCACCUGGGAAGUACGGUCGCAAGGCUGAAACUUAAAGGAAUUGGCGGGGAGCACCACAACAGGUGGAGCCUGCGGUUUAAUUGGAUUCAACGCCGGACAUCUCACCGGAUAAGGCAGCUGAAUGAUUGUCAAUCUGAAGGUUUUACAUGACUAGCUG
rnacentral:rRNA from 1 species